rnacentral:rRNA from 1 species
UACGAAGGGUGCAAGCGUUACUCGGAAUUACUGGGCGUAAAGCGUGCGUAGGUGGUUCGUUAAGUCUGAUGUGAAAGCCCUGGGCUCAACCUGGGAAUGGCAUUGGAUACUGGCGACCUAGAGUGCGGUAGAGGGGUGUGGAAUUCCCGGUGUAGCAGUGAAAUGCGUAGAUAUCGGGAGGAACAUCUGUGGCGAAGGCGACUGCCUGGACCAGCACUGACACUGAGGCACGAAAGCGUGGGGAGCAAACAGG